rnacentral:rRNA from 1 species
GCCUAGUCAAUACCCUAAAGGCAACUGAUCCUGUCUAAUCUUGGAAGCUAAGCAGGGUCAGCCCUAAUCAGUAUUUGGAUAGGUGACCAUCAAAGAAUACCUGGGGCUGCAGGCU